rnacentral:rRNA from 1 species
AUGCCUGAGCCUUCUGUCCAAGGUCCAAAGUCUGUAUUGAAUCGCCAACCACAUGAAUAUUUUGCAGGAAACGGGGUCCAACUCUUCCAAAUCGCUGCAGUCGGCUGGAAUAGGAUCCCCCCUUCCCAGAGCAUCUUGUAUGCAGAAGCUGCUGUGUACUCCCCAACAACAUUCCAAGCCCAAAUGGCCUUAUCUUCAUUGGCCGGCACAAGCUCAGUCUCAAUCAGCAGCUCCCAAAGACAGAUAAACUGCGUCAGCUUGAUUGCAUCAUAUGAAAGACAAGAUUUUCUUCAAGAGGUUUUAAGUGGAUGCUCGAUUUGA